rnacentral:rRNA from 1 species
GGAUUAGCUAGUUGGUGAGGUAAAGGCUCACCAAGGCGACGAUCCGUAACUGGUCUGAGAGGAUGAUCAGUCACACUGGAACUGAGACACGGUCCAGACUCCUACGGGAGGCAGCAGUGGGGAAUAUUGGACAAUGGGCGAAAGCCUGAUCCAGCCAUGCCGCGUGUGUGAAGAAGGUCUUCGGAUUGUAAAGCACUUUAAGUUGGGAGGAAGGGCAGUAAGUUAAUACCUUGCUGUUUUGACGUUACCAACAGAAUAAGCACCGGCUAACUUCGUGCCAGCAGCCGCGGUAAUACGAAGGGUGCAAGCGUUAAUCGGAAUUACUGGGCGUAAAGCGCGCGUACGUGGCUCGUUAAGUUGGAUGUGAAAGCCCCGGGCUCAACCUGGGAACUGCAUCCAAAACUGGCGAGCUAGAGUAUGGCAGACGGUGGUGGAAUUUCCUGUGUAGCGGUGAAAUGCGUACAUAUAGGAAGGACCACCAGUGGCGAACGCGACCACCUGGGCUAAUACUGACACUGAGGCGCGAAAGCGUGGGGAG